CAGACAGCUCUCAACGCUUUCACCUCGCACAGUGGGGACCAGAGGGGGAUUGGAGCUGAAAAGAGAAGCCCAGGACACAUCCCUGCAGCCUCAGAGGUGUUACUGGGCUUUGCUGGGCAGGAAACACCUCCUGUAGGGCACUGGAAAACAAGCUGCUGCCUUGUGCCCUGCGUGCCUGGGCAGAGAGGGAGGGAGCUGGCCAGGCUCCCCCAGCACAGCAGCCCGUGUGGGAAGCCUGGGAUGGAAGGAGGGGAUGGGAUAGAGCAGCACAGCCCAUGCUGGGCUCCUCAGCUCUGGGAAUGUGAGAAUCACGAUCCUCCUCACCUUCUGCCUGGCUCAUUUACUGCAAUUAAAUGCUUGUAAACAGAUUAUACCCUGAAAGCUACAUUUUCCUGACUGGCUGCAUUCCUUCCAGGAGGUGAGAUGGGAUUGCUGGACCUGUGUUCACAUCUUUACAUGCCAUGGCUACAUUGGGUCAAGCGUGGCUUUCCCUGUGCCCAGGUAAAGGGGAAUUAGCCUGAGCAAUAUCCAGG